GCCCAACCCCAUCCCCACAUCCAGCCCCAACCCUGUCUCCCACCGCACACCUUAUCCCUGUCUGCAACCCCACCCCACCCCAAAUUCUAGUCCACAUAAUUCCUAGCUGCAUCCCUGAAGCUGUGCCCAAAUCCAACCCCCUUCCGGCCCAGACCAGUCAUCAGGAACAGGAAGAUGCCGAUCCAUGCCAGGAAGCCACGUCAUCUCUCUGAACCUCAGUCUCCUCGUCUGUAGAGUGGACAUACUCCUAGGACUGUCUCAGGGGGCCGUCAUGUAGAGGCAGUCUGGCACCUGCAGUGCCUCAUUUGAUAUGUCUUCAGUCUUGGAAGUUUGGCUAACUCAUGUUGUCCUACACAUGCUGCCUGAGAGUUCUACCAGGGGAGUGCAUUACUCAUACACUUUUUUUUCCUCAUACACUUUUGACUGGAGAACGAUUCUUAGAACAGAGUGUGCAGCUUUAGGAGGGACAUACAUGGAUCAGUG
rnacentral:lncRNA from 1 species